rnacentral:lncRNA from 1 species
AUUGAGUUUCAAUUUUUAUAGGCACAGGACAUUAGUUUUGCUAUGGAAGCCUCCAGGAAAUCGAGAAUUGCUUUUGCUGCUGCCAAUCCAAGACUUGGAGAAACACAGCAUAGAGAGGGUAUCUCUUCUGUCAAAAAGGCACUUGAUUUUAAUUUCCAAGAUGUGGAUGGAUUAUUACGCCUUGUUCGGGUUGCCAUGGAAGCCAUCAGUCGUUAAACUACCUCUUACACUUCAAAAUAAGCCAAUCCACGGUCUCUCCCCUUUCUCCAUUUCCUAUUUGUCAUUGAAGGAAGAAAAUAGAAAAGGAUCUCUUAUUCACCAAAUUCUACAUUCUAGGAACUCAAUUAAAUUAGCACCAUUGUAUAUCUGUACAGUAAUGGCUUGUUUGGUGGGGUGGAUUUUGUAAGACUCUGGGCAGUAUGAGAGGAAACAAAAAAGCCUAAAAUAUUACCUGUUGUACUGUCGAGUCCAGUACUGUGUACUAUACACGUGUAUUCUUCAAUAUGGCUGCUUGUGGAUGAGAGUACUUGCCUGGAGUUUUUCAAGCACGGUUGAUAUUAUCCUUAAAAGGCUUCUGCAUGAUUUAAUGAUCUACCACAUAACCCAACUAACAAUGAUCACAAAAGUGAUGGGGAAACCUGAUCACUUGAGAUAGUGGAAUUCAAUACCUUCGUCUCCAUUAUUGUUGGGUUGUUGGUGGAGUUCGAACAAUUUUGCCCCCCAAAAAAAUACCUUUUCCUCUAAUCCCGACAGAAUCAAGGAGAAGUUCAUGCCAAGCUCUCAAAUAUAAAUUUGAUCCUAUUGACUCACUGAGUUCCAGCUCAAUCUAAGGCUGACACUGGACUUGCAGUCUCAGGUUAAUUUCCAUGUACAUUUUAUUCUUUGUAUGUGACACAUUUGUACUCUUUAUUUGAUCUGAUCUUAUAUUUUCUGAUUUUAAUGUUUGCAGGUUUUGUCUUACACUUCUCUCACAAUGGAGACAAUUAGCUUCCAUUGUUCAUAAUAAUAAGUAGAAAUAAGUUGCUAAAACGUGGAUGCAGAGCACAAAAUAAAUAAAUAAAAUGUUGUGUUUUAUUGACAUCAAGGGAAGGAUUGAGAUGAUCCCUUCAAAGGUGUGUUAUAUUUACUUUUUGUACAAAGUUGAUUUCUAAGCAAUUAAAGAUAGAAUUUCAUCUGCUGAAGUUCCUCUGGUUUAU